GGCGGUCAUCGCCUUCGAGCCCAGCAAACUCCAGAAAGUUCCCGGCAUAGCCAGCAAUAGGAUGACCGGUAAGGGGAUCGUUAACCCUUGACUUGGUGUUGUCAGCACCAUGCUCUCACAGGUUUCUUCUGUCUCUGCUGCCAAUGGAGAAGCUGGAAGGGGCUGAGGGUAGGCCCCCACCCAGGGGCGCUGCUGGGUGGGGCGGAGGGCAGCCUAGGCCUGCAGCCCAUCCCAGCAGCCUCUGUCAGAUCUGGGACGACCAUUAUUUCUUCCAGCCCUGGAGUCCACUUGGGUUACUCAGAGUUCAGGAUGGUACAAACUGGGGGAAGGAGACUACUCCCUCAGUGUGUGUCUGCAGUCAGAGGAGCCUUUGUACAGGUUGGAGACCCUGGGCCUGGACUCUGUGGAGCUCUACGUGAAUUUCUUUGUAUCUCUGAGAAAUUGACUGUAUGGUUAUUUCCCCCUGAUCUGUCCCUCAGUGAUUUGACUUGUGUGAAUUUGUGACUGAGUAUGUGGGAGGCAGAUGGAGACAUCCACAGUAUGGCUAUGGACAUCCAGGUGUCUGUGCUUGCUGCUGUGUGACCGUGUGUACCUGGGUGCGUAUGUGUCUGAGACACAGAUACAGACAUGCUCAGCCCGUGGGAUGUUUCCCUUUAAGUUGUGCUGUACAUGUGUAAGCAUGAGACCAUAUUUUGAACAUACAAUUGUCUGAAUCUGUGUUGUGUUUUCACUUUUCUUUAUACGUGUGUGUCAGACGAUUUGUGGACAUACACAUACUGAUUCCAUCUGUCUAUCUUUGCUGCUCUAUGCAGUGGGUUUGCAUGCUUUGUUGGGUAUUGAAAUGUGUGUUUGUCUUUGUGUCUGUUGUCAUGCGCACACAUGUAUAUACAUGUAUGAGUUUGGGAGCCAAGCUACCUGGGUUGAAUCCUGCCACGAUCCUUUUACAACUGUGUGACUUCAGGCAAGUUGCUCAUUCUCUGAGUUUUCCCUACUAUAAAAUGAGGCUAUACACAGAAGCCAGCUCAGUUGUGCAGAUUAAAGAGAUAAAAGUUGUGAAGAGUUUAUAGCCAAGCCUGACACCACCACGCUCCUACUGAUGUUUCCUAUCAUUGUCAUUUUAUGUAGGGUGCAUGUGUGUCUGGGGCCGGGAUCCUGCCUGUCUGCCCAGGGCCUGCAGCCUUCUACCCUCUGUGCUUAGCUGGGAGGAAGAGAAGGGACAUCUAGGGCACUUACCUGUGUCAUCAGGUUCUGGUAGCCUGGGCAGAGGAGUCUGGCAACUCUGCCUUUCUCACAUGGGAAAUGCUAAAUAUUUACAGUUGGGGCUUUUGAGCUGAGCAUCAUAGCUCUCCUCCCAGGUUCUGGGGGCUGGGGAGUGGUUACAAAGCCUCCUCUCUCCUUCUCUCCCACCAGCCUUCCCCUUCUUCAGCUCUGAGGCCCUGCUGGACCCUUGGCUCUUCCUCAGACUUACUGUGCUUGCUGCAAGCCUUGCUGGAUUGAGGGUCUAGGUCUUGAGAGGUGACAGGGUGGGAGUGCAGGUGGAGGUUGAUUUUGUCUGUCGGGAGACCUCAGCCUCAGCUUAACUGGGGGGCUUCUAGGCCUCCUCCUUACCCCAAGCUGAGAUUGUGAAAGGCAGUAGGUGUUACACACUCUAUCUCCAAGGGGUUUGGUCCAUCCCUGUUGUGGGAGCCUGGUGUCUGCAAGCUGGAGACAAGGAGAAGAACCUGCCCCACCCUUGGGAGCUCCUGCUUGGUGUGCAAUUAUGGUAGUGAAUAUGCCCUUCUCCAGCUCAGAACCCUACACAGCUCCUACUGACUCAGAGUAAAACCCCAGGUCUUCCUUUUUUUUUUUUUUAAAAAAAGAUGAUUGGUAAGGGGAUCUUAACUCUUGGCUUGGUGUUGUCAGCACCAUGCUCAGCCAGUGAGCCAACAGGCCAUCCCUAUAUAGGAUCCGAACCCGUGGCCUUGGUGUUAUCAGCACUGCACUCUCCCGAGUGAGCCAUGGGCCGGCCCAUCCCAGGUCUUUCUUGAGGUCCACAAGGCCCUGCAGACUUUGCCCCAUGUUGAGCUCUUUUACCUGCCCGUAAUCCUACCGACUGGGCCAAUUGUCAAGCUAGGGCUGGGUCUGGAGCUCACAGACCCCUCAAGCCCGUUCACAGACUGGGUCACAAACCCUUCACACACCAGGCUAGGUCCCCAGACCGCUCACAUGCAGGUCUAUGAGCUAGGUAACUGGCAAACAGGUCCUUGGAAGCCGUAGGUUGGAGAGCAUGGCUGUGCAGGUGGACACCCAUGGCAGACGCCAGCCAAAGUUGCAGCACCAUGCAUGCACCCUAACUCCAUACACACACACACAAUUUGCUUACAAAGAAUAUGCAGCACCACCUGCAACCUGCCCUGAGGUGAGGGAGCCUGACCAAACUAUUCUAUUUUUCCAACACCCCAUCACCUCCUCCUGCUUUCCCCUUGCUCACUCUGUUCCAGCCUCACAGGCCUCCCUGCUGUUCCUUGGGCAUAUCAAAUGCAGGGUCCAACCUCAGGGCCUUUGCACUUGCUGUUCCCUCCGUGUGGAAUGCUAUUCUCCUCUCUCGUCCUUCGUGUCUUUGCUCAAGUGUCACCUUUUCAGUGAGGACUUUCCUGACUCUAUUUAAAUCCCACCCCACAUCCCAGGACUCCCACCUCCUUCCCUGCUUGAUUUUUCUCAUAAGCACUAUCACGCUCUGUUUUACUUAUUUAUUGUUUUCCCAACUAGAAUGUCAGAUCCAUAGGGCAGGGAUUUUGUCUGUUUUGGUUAAGGCUGUGUCCCCAUUGCCUGGAACAGCCCCUGGCACACAAUAGGUACUCAAGGAGUGUUUGUUGAAUGUGUGAGGCAAAAUGUUGAUAAUGAAGACCGUAGGACACAUGCCUGUGUGGCCACCAGGAUGUGUGCAUUUGGACAUGAAGGAAUUCAGUGCAGAUGGGGAUGACAUGUGGACACAUGUUCCAAGUGGUGUCAGGUGCACAUGUGUGGAGGGUUAGAAAUCUUGAUUCUCGUUUGAUUUUAGAAUAGGGUUUUUAGGUAAAUGCAUGUAUGGGGCAAAAGCCCUCAGGUAGGAGGCGACAGCCUACAGCCAGAGGGCAAAACCCAUCUAAUCAGCUCUAAUCACUGUUUAGGUAUGGGAUUGUAUACUUUAAUGAUUUCAGAGCUAACAGAUGGUUGUCUUACCGAUCCUGUUAAGAGAUUUUAAGAAUUGCCGAAGGGAAAGAUGUGAAAAAAAAUGUUUCUUAGGGGCAAGCUGUCUGUUGGAGCACUUUAGAAAUAAUUGUACUUUGGGCCGAGCCCGUGGCGCACUCGGUAGCGUGCUGCGCUAGCAGCGCGGCGACGCUCCCGCCGCGGGUUCGGAUCCUAUAUAGGAAUGGCCGGUGCACUCACUGGCUGAGUGCCGGUCACGAAAAAGACAAAAAAAAAAAAGAAAUAAUUGUACUUUGAUUUUAUCAUAAGAAUGUUACUUUUGCUUAAGAAGAGGUUAUACUUUAGAUAAUGAGCCAGUUUGACCAACUUAGCUUUUCACUAAUUGUACUUUGGCAUGUCACAUUGUUAAUUUUACUGAUGUUACUAGUUUCCAUUGCUUAAGCUAUACUUAGCCAUAGGUAACUUUUGUAACACUGCCCAUGUCCUUGUGUCUUUUUGUAAUGAUUGAAUCAACGGAAUUUUCUUGUGAAACUUCCUUGUCUUUACAAUAAAGAAGAAAAGCUAACUUUGAAU